AUGAAUUAGCACAGAAUUAUUUCUGUUGUUGGGCUGUGAAUACUUAGGAAGUCUAGAUUUACUGGGGAAACCCAGAGCAGGUAUAGAUUGUACAGUCAGAUAAAAUCUGAUUUGAAAGAGUAGGCUUGCACAUUUCUGCAUCUUUCAUGUGAGAUAUUACGCAGACACAUGGUGGGUUUCUGUCUAAUCCUGCUUGGCAGUCCCUGGUUAUGUUCUGGAGGAAGCCUGCCUGUGCUCCCUAAAGAAAUGAAGGCACAGUGGGAAGACUUGCUGCUGCUUCUGCUUUGAUCCUGCAGGGAUAAGCUGUUGAACACUGUGAACUGAAGUCUAACACAAAGCCAGGCUGCAAAGCAGUGUAGAUUGAGCCACUGUUCCCUCUGCUCUACUGCCUCCAUCCUUUGGUCCUGCCUUGUCCUGCAGCAGCUGCACAUCAUGGAUGACUCCUAGCUCAGUGCAGGAGUACCACAGAGCCCUGUGCAAGAGGUGUGAGGAAGAGUCCCAGUGCACCACUUCAGAGAGAAGAAAGGAAUCUACUGGGAGAGGCAGGAAACAGCAGCUAUGGCUUCAUAACAGGAGUGAAGAAUCAGCUACAGUACAAUGACUUGCAACAUUAUGUAAUUGGAAAGUACGCUGUGCCCACAAGACUGGAGUUUCUGAAACUCUGGAGCCAGUUAUGUAUAAUUGGAGUUGACUUGCAUCGAGUGAGAACCUGGUUCACGGGCGUGUGAUUGCAGUCAGUGCCAAGACACAGGUCCAGAGAAACAUCUUGGUAAUUGGAAUCUUUUUUCCUAAAAUAAUGUCUCUCCUUCUGAUUAGAGAAGGGAUGUGUCUUUGCAGAGGUGUACAGGAGUGUAAGCCAGGCUCAGGGAUGGAAGAAAACCAAGCUACACCAGCACCUGCUGGAGUAACUUGGUUGGUUCCACCCCCACAGAACUGAGGGUACAUUCCAUGAGAGUAAUGUCCUACCAUGCAGCUGUAAGGGCUCCUUCCUGCCCAAGGCCUUGCCUGAUCUCAUCGCUGGUAAGACCUCAAACCACAAGUAGCACGCAUAAAUAUCUCGGGUCCAGCAGCCUCCCUGCUGCCAUCCUUGCAGCUGUAUUACAGAACAAGCUCUAAUCCAAAAUGUAACCUAAUCCCAAAGUGUAAUCUUCAACUCACAUGUGGGGGGACUUGCUGAUACUCAGUGGGGAAUCUUCCACAUAA